UCAGUGGCGAACGGGUGAGUAACACGUGAGCAACCUACCCUAGACUCUGGAAUAACCAUGGGAAACGAUGGCUAAUACCGGAUACGAGACACACACGCAUGUGUGGUGUCUGGAAAGAUUUAUCGGUCUGGGAUGGGCUCGCGGCCUAUCAGCUUGUUGGUGGGGUAGUGGCCUACCAAGGCGACGACGGGUAGCCGGCCUGAGAGGGCGACCGGCCACACUGGGACUGAGAUACGGCCCAGACUCCUACGGGAGGCAGCAGUGGGGAAUAUUGCACAAUGGGCGCAAGCCUGAUGCAGCGACGCCGCGUGAGGGAUGACGGCCUUCGGGUUGUAAACCUCUUUCAGCAGGGAAGAAGCGCAAGUGACGGUACCUGCAGAAGAAGCGCCGGCUAACUACGUGCCAGCAGCCGCGGUAAUACGUAGGGCGCAAGCGUUGUCCGGAAUUAUUGGGCGUAAAGAGCUCGUAGGCGGUUUGUCGCGUCUGCUGUGAAAACCUAAGGCUCAACCUUGGGCUUGCAGUGGGUACGGGCAGACUAGAGUGCGGUAGGGGUGACUGGAAUUCCUGGUGUAGCGGUGGAAUGCGCAGAUAUCAGGAGGAACACCGAUGGCGAAGGCAGGUCACUGGGCCGCAACUGACGCUGAGGAGCGAAAGCAUGGGGAGCGAACAGGAUUAGAUAC
rnacentral:rRNA from 1 species